AUUGAACGCUGGCGGCAGGCUUAACACAUGCAAGUCGAGCGAGCGGCGGACGGGUGAGUAAUGUCUGGGAAACUGCCUGAUGGAGGGGGAUAACUACUGGAAACGGUAGCUAAUACCGCAUACCAUCAGAUGUGCCCCGAUGGGAUUAGCUAGUAGGUGGGGUAAUGGCUCACCUAGGCGACGAUCCCUAGCUGGUCUGAGAGGAUGACCAGCGAAACGGGAACGGAGACACGGUCCAGACGCCUACGGGAGGCAGCAGUGGGGAAUAUUGCACAAUGGGCGCAAGCCUGAUGCAGCCAUGGCGCGUGUAUGAAGAAGGCCGUCGGGGUGUAAAGUACGUUCAGCGGGGAGGCGGUACCCGCAGAAGAAGCACCGGCUAACUCCGUGCCAGCCGCCGCGGUAAUUC
rnacentral:rRNA from 1 species